CGGCUGGGGUGAAGUCAUCUGAAGGCCCCUCCACUCAUGCAGGUGACAAGAGACUCUGACUUUGGGCUGGAGCUCAGUAGGGGUAGCACCGAGCACUGUGUGUGGCCUCUGCACCUGGCUGUUUAGGCUCCUCCCUGCUUGGUGACUGCCUUCCGAGAAUAAACAUCCUGGUGAGGCUGGCUGGAAACUGUAUAACUUUUCUGAGCAACUUCUGAAGUCUCGUAGUAUGGCUGGGGUCACAGCUGUGCCCAGAUUGAAGGUGUGUUGAUGUCCCCUCCGAAGAACGUGGCGUGGACCGGGAGGGUACCAUCAUGACAUGGAGUCAGCAGCAACUCAUCAGGCUCAGGCUCCCAGCCUUCAAGCACCCUCUCUGCCUGCCGGGCUCCGUUGCUGGCCAGGUAUGACCUCGUGUGCGGCAUCCUCAGGCUGGGGGCCUCCCUGACUCCACUAGCCCAGGGGUGGACAGCGAGUGGGGUGAAUGACAUACCUGCCCACAUAUUCACAUGUACGUGGGUCACCAAGUGUGAGAACGCAGGACAUGGCCGGCGACUUAAGGACCGAGAGGUGAAAGGACAAACUCAUAGCCACACAGCGCAGGACUUUCCAUCUCCAGCCAAGCAUCCACUCUGCGUAUUACUGUGUAGCCCCUCGGAGAUUUCAAAUGGCCUUCGCUUCUCACUUGAUGGAGGAUCAUGUCCUAAAGGAGGACACCGAGCCCUGAAAAUGGAGUGACAUGCUCCUGGUGACACAAGGAGAGGCAGAGCUGGGAUUCGAACCUGGCUCUGCAUGACUCUUCAGCUCCUGCACUGAGUAUGUCCUCUCCACCCACGGAUGAACAGACACACCAACAGAUCAGGUGACUUACUUUGCACCGUGAUGCCGGGGCAGCUUAGGGUACAGUGAUUUGGGAAAAGUUUGUUGCUCAAAUCAGUGAGAGAAGGAUCCUUGAGGACGGGAAGUGAACCAGUAAGGAAGCCAGCCACUGAAAGUCCCAAGUGAGCAGAGCUUUUCACCCAGGUCCUUCCUGUUUAUUUAUUCUAAGGCGAAAAAAACAAAACAAAACAAAAAACCAAAAACCAAAUAGAACAUCUGACAGCAAAGUGAGGCGGUGGGAUAAUUCUAUUCCCAGAUCAAAUCUCAGCGCAGGGAAUGCAUUAUCAUCAGAGUGAUUAGCUUGGGGGACAGAGAUAGGGAGUUUUAUUAAAUGAGACAAACUUGCUAAAAGGAAGCCUUACAUUAGACUUGGGCCUUAAAUAAUAUUAGUGUCAAGAACUAACAAACAUUUUCUCACAGUGUCUGAGAGCACACUGCCUUGCACUGAGUGACUUCCAUAGGGGCCACGGGAGCUGGGGCAAUUGGGACCACAGCAGAUUAAGCAGCCUCUGACACCUUGACCCUUGAUGCCUGGCCUGUGGGUCGCCAGCCACCAAGGAGCUAUUUAGACCCCUCUGUUCUUUUGGUGACACUGAGACCAGAGACCUCUGCAGCCCUGGGAGAGGGAUCUGCAUUUUUUGCUUCGAGCACAAUGUUCUUGACACUUCACAGGUCCCCAGUGUGUAGGCAAAGGAUUGGUUUCCCAAUGGGGACCCAACUCCCACCUUGAGAAUGUGCCUGGUUCCCUGAAGACUACAGGGAGUGCAGAGCCAGCAGCCCCCAGGGCCCAGCUGUGGUCUUGGGGGAUUGGUGUUCUGGGAAGUUUGGGAUCAAGUCCUACUGCACCAACUCUGUGACUAUGGGCACGUUACUUCACUUUUUUGCAUGUUGGUUUCCUUAUCUGCAAAUUGGGCUAACUGGUACCCACCUCACGGGCUUGUUCUGGGUGCUGAAUGAGUCCAUUGUGCAAAGCUCCUAAAACCAUACCUGAAACACAGGAAGAGCCCAAUUCAUGUUCUCUUUGCUCUAUCUUAGCUCCCAUCUUUGCCCUGUCCUUCCUGUCCCAGUGCAUCGCUGCUCUAAUUUGGAUCUUGACUGUCCCAUAAAGGCCCAUGCAUUAAAGAUUUGGUCUGCUGCCUGUGGUGCUGUUGGGAGGUAGAAGGAAGUUACGUCGUUGGUAGUUUGUCCUUGAAGGGGAUGUUUGGUGUCCAGACUCCUCUCUUUCCCUUUGCUUCAUGGUCGCCAUAAGGUGAGCAGUUUACCCCACCGUGGACUUUCCACCACGAUGUGCUGCCUCACCCAAAGUGACGGCCAGCUGAUUGUGGACUGGAACCUCGGAAACCACGAGCCAAGUAAACCUUUCCUCAUAAAUUGUUCCUCUUGGGUAUUUGCUAUAAUGAUGGAAAGCUGACCGACAUCAUCACCCACAGACUUAUCUCCAGAAAAGGGUGAAAGGCUGCAGGAGGGCAGAUUUCUCCAGACCCUUGAGGGAAAAGGCAUCCCACAGAGACCUUCAGAUUGUUAAUCUAGGGGCUCCCAGAAGUUACC